UACGUAGGUGGCAAGCGUUGUCCGGAUUUACUGGGCGUAAAGAGCGCGCAGGCGGUCGUUCAAGUCGCGUGUGAAAGCCCCCGGCUCAACUGGGGAGGGUCACGCGAUACUGAUCGACUCGAAGGCAGGAGAGGGUAGUGGAAUUCCCGGUGUAGUGGUGAAAUGCGUAGAUAUCGGGAGGAACACCAGUGGCGAAGGCGGCUCACUGGACUGGUAUUGACGCUGAGGUGCGAAAGCGUGGGGAGCAAACAGGG
rnacentral:rRNA from 1 species